GGAACUGAGGAAGUCCAGCUGUGAAGAAGAUUGAGUGCUACCUGAGAAGAUGAUGACUCCCUCAAAACCACCUAUACAGAGGCGAAACACAUUAUCUCACAUGUCUUCAGGAUUUGCAAGAAUUGGAGAAUGCCAAGACAUGGAAAUGCUUUUGAACCAGAUGCUACCCCAUGGAUAUUUAUCUCUAGAAAAUGUGAUUGCUUCCAAUGAAAUGACUGUCCCAAACUCUCUGCCUC